AGAGUUUGAUCCUGGCUCAGGAUGAACGCUGGCGGCGUAGCCUAACACAUGCAAGUCGAACGAAGCAUGACCCUUGAGGCCUUCGGGCGGAGAGGGGCAUGACUUAGUGGCGACGGGUGAGUAACGCGUGGGUAACCUGCCCUAUACUGGGGGAUAACAGCUAGAAAUGGCUGCUAAUACCGCAUGAGCGCACAGUCCCGCAUGGGACAGUGCGGAAAACUCCGGUGGUAUAGGAUGGACCCGCGUCCGAUCAGCUGGUUGGUGGGGUAACGGCCCACCAAGGCAACGAUCGGUAGCCGACCUGAGAGGGUGACCGGCCACAUUGGGACUGAGACACGGCCCAAACUCCUACGGGAGGCAGCAGUGGGGGAUAUUGCACAAUGGGGGAACCCUGAUGCAGCGACGCCGCGUGAGUGAAGGAGUACUCCGGUAUGUAAAGCUCUAUCAGCAGGGAAGAAGCAAGACGGUACCUGACCAAGAAGCCCCGGCUAACUACGUG
rnacentral:rRNA from 1 species